AUGCUGGACUUACCUCUGAGGAUGUGUGCUGAGCUCUGGGUGGAGGGGACUGUCAGGCUGAAUGGCUUUUUGGGGUCCUCUUAAGAACAGGUUAAAGAGAAGAAGAAGAAAAGCCCAGGACCUACUACCAGCUAGUGCACCAGCCACCUGUUUUCCAUAGAUUCUCCUUACAGCUGAUGGCUUUUCUAAGAAAGCUUCAGCUCAACCUUAUCACAAUCACCUGGCAGCACUCACUAUUAGCCCCAAAGGCCAGUGCACAUCUGUGUGCUACCUCAGGAAGCUCAGUCGCUCUCUGUGGGACAAAACCUGGUUUGGGCCCAAGAGCUGACUCUGCUCCCUGCUAGCUGAACUAUCCAGCUGUAGGAUGCAGCUGGAUGCUGAAGGGCAGAGUGUGUAACCCUCUGUGAAAGCCAGGCUCCAAAGGCAGCCCUUGAUGCCCCAGCAGUGCUGCUGGAAGCGCUGGCAGCACUUGGCACAGAUGGGAUGGAGCCUUCCCACAGCUCUGUCCCCUGGCACCGAGGGUGGCACAGCAGAGAGGCUGAUGGAAGUAAAACAAACGCUGGAUUUCAAUGGACGCUGAUGGGACUGAAAGCCCCAGCCCAGAGCUGCUCCCUGCCCAGCACAGGAGCUCCCAGUGCUGCUGCAGGGCACAGGCUCUGAGGGAACCCUGCAGCUGGGACAGGAACGCAGCAACAACAAUUCCCAGGCACAAAGAGAUCCCCACCUGCUCCAACAACUGAACCUCUGUGGCUCAGCCUCACGGGGUGUCCCUGCUCCAGGCAGGAUGAGCCACACAGCCCCCGAGGCUGGGCUCACACCCUGCCCUACCAGCAGAAAACAAGGGGUUCAUGAAGCUUUGGGGACACCUUCUGUCCCCAGAGUGCUUUGACAAAACAUCCAGCAGUGUGGAUCUUUAAUAAAGACAGCUUGUACCUAUCCUUGCAA